rnacentral:rRNA from 1 species
GACGAACGCUGGCGGCGUGCCUAAUACAUGCAAGUCGAGCGGACGGAUGGGAGCUUGCUCCCUGAAGUCAGCGGCGGACGGGUGAGUAACACGUGGGCAACCUGCCUGUAAGACUGGGAUAACUUCGGGAAACCGGAGCUAAUACCGGAUAAUUYYUUYCCUCACAUGAGGGAARGCUGAAAGAUGGUUUCGGCUAUCACUUACAGAUGGGCCCGCGGCGCAUUAGCUAGUUGGUGAGGUAACGGCUCACCAAGGCAACGAUGCGUAGCCGACCUGAGAGGGUGAUCGGCCACACUGGGACUGAGACACGGCCCAGACUCCUACGGGAGGCAGCAGUAGGGAAUCUUCCGCAAUGGACGAAAGUCUGACGGAGCAACGCCGCGUGAGUGAUGAAGGUUUUCGGAUCGUAAAACUCUGUUGUUAGGGAAGAACAAGUACCGGAGUAACUGCCGGUAC